UUUAUUUGUAUUUUUUGUAAUUUAGGUUAAUUGACCAUUUUAAACUAUUUUCGUUCUCCAAACAGCUGUUGAAUCAUCUGUACUUCUGGUAAAAUUUUAAUAGAAUUAAUCACCACUUUUUCUCAAAAGAGGUAUUUAACAGUGAUUUUCCAGUUGUUGCUGUUGUAAUAACAAACACCUUCUAAACAUAUAGGUGAGGUUUGAUUUCUUUUUCCAUUUCGCAACUAAAUGUUUUGAAUACAGUAGACCGGGGAUCAGCAAAUUUAAAAGAACAGUUUUUCAGCACUGCUCGUUGGCCAGCAUAUCCUGCAUGUGUGGAUUUCCUGGCUAUUUGUUUAGACAUUAUUUGUGAUUGAUUGUUAAAUCGAACAGUUGUUUAUUUCAAAGUGAAAAUGUGCUGGAAUAGUGAAACUUUGCUUUUACAAGGACAUCAUUAUGUACUGCAACUCUGUCAUUCAUACAAACAUAAACUGCACAUGUCCCUCAUCAGCACUCAUGAGCCCACAGUCAGCAGCCUGCAUCGGCAAGGGAGAGUGAGGUCAAGGACAAGAUCACUGUGACUGAUAAAACUCUUAACUCUCUGAGAUCAACAUUCAGGAGGAACAACAUGGUUCUGUGAGGAAGAGGAGCCAGGGCAGAGUGGAUGGACAAUAGCUCAGUCACAGAGAGAGUGAUGGAGAGGGGAAGAUAAAGGGAGUCUGGGUUUUGUUGUAGUGAAGGGCUCUCCAAAAGGGCACAAUAAAUCUCCCCACAGAGGAAGAUCAGAGACUGGCCAAACCCACAACCCCACCUAAACACACACACACAUAUACACACCUGAGAUGUUCUUUGUGUUCUCCCUGUAACCUCAUGAAUUUUGGAACAAAAUCAAGUCUGUACUCUAAUGUCAAUUAAUGCCACACACAUGCUCUCUUGGCUUUAAAUCACUAUCAUCCCCGUUUCUAAUCAUCUCCCAAAGUAAUUAUUAUUAUAAUGAACUUUAUAUAACACUUUUCAAAAAAGGUUACUUAGUACUUAUACAAAACCAAAGCAAUAAAACAGUCAGGUAAAAGACAAAACUAAAAAUACUAAAACAGAAAAGAAACCCAGCACAAAGAGAAUUUAACACAAAAACAAGUAAAGUAAGAUACUCACUGUGCGUAUCCAGCUUAUUUAAUACAUCUAUGAUUUCACCAACAGAUCACCGCUACUCCCUUUUUCAUAGAAUGGCACAGCCUCUACUUUCAAACCUACACCAACCGCUAAACUUCUGUUUCCUGAUAAAAGCUCACCACGUACAGGUUUCCUCACAUUUUUGCAGUAAACUUCCUCUAAACCUCAAAAGUAAUUUCCAGUAAAAACAUGCAGCUAGUAUUGCCAAUAAAUUGCUGCUCCUGAGUGCUGUAUCAUUGUCGACCAUCAUUAUAUAAUACUGUAGUAGUUUAGAGACUUGAAAAGCAGGCAAAAGAUGAGUGCUGUAAAUCCCUGUACAAUCUAAGGAUUCCUGGUCAGGAAAUUGAAAAAGUAGCUCUCUUCCUCCCCUCAACAGCAUGUCUUGAAAUACUCAGUUCAAGUGCAGAAUUAAGAAAAUUGUAUCCCUUAUUAGGGAUAUUUAGGCCAAGGUCCAAGUAACAAGUGAUUAGUUUUUGGUGUGGAUCCGAAACCAGGAAUUUUUAAAAAGAUUUUUUACCGUUGUGAUAUAGGGUAUGUUUGAACACGUCUUCUAAUUAAGAACUACUGUACUUACUUGAAUGAUGGUACAUGAAGCAUAAAUGUUUAUCAUUACCAGUAUUUUGAUAGAACCAAAUCCAGAUGCAGAUUCUCAACAUUUUCUCUUAUUAAAAUAACUCCUUUAAUGCUCGCCGCAGCCCUGGCAGAAGGGAGCGCUCUGAGUGAUUUCUAGUAAUGACUUUGUUGCCUUUCUACUGUAUGGUGCUACUGUAUUUAUUUUUAAAUAAAUACAAGUGGUCCUUGAAUCAGACCGUUGUUUUAUUUUAUUUGUUUUAAUUACUGGAACUUUAUAUAGUGCAUGUUGUCACCUGCUAAUUCGC